GCUUCUCUAGUGGUGCUGAAAUGAGGUGAUGAUUCCACAAAAACUCAACUAGCAACCAGAGUAUCUUUAUACAUCUCCUGCAUUCAUUGCAAGAAGAAUGGAUUUCAACUCUCAGGGAGGCAGAGUCAUACCUGAAGAUUUAACUGACAUGAGGUGGACACAGCCUCCUUCCCACCACCCUCCAGUGACAGUCCUGUUCCAGCCUAGCUUCAGUGGACAAAGCAUCCAGUCACAACAUGUGCAACCACUGUAUGCCACAAGGAUGCUUCCUUGUGCUGUGGAGGAUACAACAAAGCUUGUUUCUUUUGGAAGCGAGCCACUAUGUUGCACAGAAGCUCAGGCUGGACAACAGGAUAAUGAGAGGCCAGAUAGAGGGAGGUCUACACAAUGAGACCAUCUUGGACAUCUUGGACAUUCCAGCCACAAUAGAUCUCCCAGCUGGAUGUAGUUACCAGAGUGAUCUCAGCUACACUAUGGGGAACAAAAGACCUACUGAGCUGCUCCUAGCAAACCCAUGGAAUUGUGACAAAAAAUAAAUCAUUGUUGUUUGCA